UACGAAGGGGGCUAGCGUUGAUCGGAAUGACUGGGCGUAAAGCGUGCGCAGGCGGCUAUGCAAGACAGAUGUGAAAUCCCCGGGCUCAACCUGGGAACUGCAUUUGUGACUGCAUGGCUAGAGUACGGUAGAGGGGGAUGGAAUUCCGCGUGUAGCAGUGAAAUGCGUAGAUAUGCGGAGGAACACCGAUGGCGAAGGCAAUCCCCUGGACCUGUACUGACGCUCAUGCACGAAAGCGUGGGGAGCAAACAGG
rnacentral:rRNA from 1 species